rnacentral:rRNA from 1 species
AGAGUUUGAUCCUGGCUCAGAACGAACGCUGGCGGCGUGCCUAACACAUGCAAGUCGAACGAGAAACCUUGUCUUCGGAUGAGGGAGUAAAGUGGCGCACGGGUGAGUAACGCGUGAGUAACCUACCUCCGCUGUUCGGGAUAACGUCGGGAAACUGGCGCUAAUACCAGAAUGAAGUCUCCGGCUGCAGGGUUUGGAGACCAAAGCAGGCCUCUACAUGUAAGCUUGCGCAGGGAGAUGGGCUCGCGUCCCAUUAGCUAGUUGGUAGGGUAAAAGCCUACCAAGGCGACGAUGGGUAGCCGGGCUGAGAGGCUGUCCGGCCACACUGGAACUGAAACACGGUCCAGACUCCUACGGGAGGCAGCAGUGAGGAAUUUUGCGCAAUGGACGAAAGUCUGACGCAGCGACGCCGCGUGGGCGACGAAGCUCUUUGGAGUGUAAAGCCCUGUCAGGUGGGACGAAUCCGGAGGGAGUGAAUAACUCGCCUUCGCUGACGGUACCACCAGAGGAAGCCCCGGCUAACUCCGUGCCAGCAGCCGCGGUAAUACGGAGGGGGCGAGCGUUGUUCGGAAUCACUGGGUGUAAAGGGUGCGUAGGCGGUCCGAUAAGUCUGAUGUGAAAGCCCUGGGCUCAACUCAGGAACUGCAUUGGAAACUGACGGACUGGAGUACCGGAGAGGGAAGCGGAAUUCCUGGUGUAGCGGUGAAAUGCGUAGAUACCAGGAGGAACACCGGUGGCGAAGGCGGUUUCCUGGCCGAGUACUGACGCUGAGGCACGAAAGCGUGGGGAGCGAACGGGAUUAGAUACCCCGGUAGUCCACGCUGUAAACGAUGGGUGCUAGGUGUUGGAGGUAUCGACCCCUUCAGUGCCGUAGCUAACGCUUUAAGCACCCCACCUGGGGAGUACGUUCGCAAGAAUGAAACUCAAAGGAAUUGACGGGGGCCCGCACAAGCGGUGGAGCAUGUGGUUUAAUUCGACGACGCGAAGAACCUUACCUGGGCUUGAACUGGAGAGGACAGCCUGUGAAAGCAGGUCUCCCGCAAGGGUCUCUCUAGAGGUGCUGCAUGGCUGUCGUCAGCUCGUGUCGUGAGAUGUUGGGUUAAGUCCCGUAACGAGCGCAACCCCUAUCCUUAGUUGCCAGCGGGCAAUGCCGGGAACUCUAAGGAAACCGCCGGUGAUAAACCGGAGGAAGGUGGGGAUGACGUCAAGUCCUCAUGGCCUUUAUGUCCAGGGCCACACACGUGCUACAAUGGACGGUACAAAGGGUUGCUAAGCCGCAAGGUGGAGCUAAUCCCAAAAAGCCGUUCUCAGUUCGGAUUGGGGGCUGCAACUCGCCCCCAUGAAGGUGGAAUCGCUAGUAAUCGCGGAUCAGCAUGCCGCGGUGAAUACGUUCCCGGGCCUUGUACACACCGCCCGUCACACCACGAAAGUUGAUUGUACUAGAAACCGCUGAGCUAACCGUUCACUCGGAGGCAGGCGUCUAAGGUAUGAUCAGCGAUUGGGGUGAAGUCGAAACAAGGUA